rfam:Triticum aestivum genome assembly, contig: Triticum_aestivum_CS42_TGACv1_scaffold_306491_4AS
AAUAUACUCCUUCCGUUCCGAAUUACUUGUCUUAGAUUUGUCUAGAUACGGAGGUAUCUAGCACUAAAAUGAGUCUAGAUACCUCUGUAUCUAGACAAUUUUAAGACAAUUAAUUUGGAACGAAGGGAGUAGUAG